rnacentral:lncRNA from 1 species
UUGGGGCCUUUAAAAGGGUGUCCAUGAAACCUUCAAGGCAGAAGGAAGGGAAUGAGAAUAGCAGGCCAAUGCUUAGAGGAAGGGGUGAGUAAGCCCACUAUUCUAGGAACAAAUUUGGAACAAUCCCAUGUGGGUGUGUUCAGCUUGUUAGAAUAUUUUAUUCUUUAUGUUACCUUUAUUAUUUAUAUAAUUAUUGGAUUUAUAUAUUGUAUUAAUUUAAUCACUUCAUUUAUGGGUUUAAUAAUUAAUUAUUUGGCCUAUAAAUAAUAUUCCUAAUAGUUUUUGGCAUAAUGGGCCCUAAGGUUUUAUAAUUUUGAUGGACGAUUUUGACCCUUAGCUAUUCUAUAAAUAAAACAGUUAGAAUUUGGUCUCAAUUGUCAUCUCAAGAACUUUAUACACACCUACACAUCCAUCAUAAGAUUGAGAGAGACAAUUGAAGAUUUUCAUCCUUAAACGCAGCGGAAGCGUGAUACGUACAAGAUGAUUUCUCUCAAUUCAUGUAAGUACUUAAUAUUAUGAUUAAUUGAUUUUAUUUAUUCUAUGCAAUAGCACCUUCCAAUAUAAUUUAUUUAACAUCUUGUAUCAAAGCCAUGAUUACGUUAUUGUAUAAAGUAAAUUAUUUAUGUUAUUAUGUUAUAAACUUUAAUGUCGUAGAAUAAUUAAAUCAUGUUAUUUUCGGAGA